GACCGUAGUUCAGUGGUAAAGCAUCUGCCUGGCAAGCAGAAUUUCUCAGGUUCAAUCCCCAGUGGCAUCU